ensembl:misc_RNA 7SK 7SK RNA
GGAUGUGAGGGCAAUCUGGCUGUAACAUCUGUCACCCCAUUGAUUGCCAGGUCACUGGUGUCCCCUUCCUCCCUCACAGCUCCACGUGCAUAUUUCCUGAAGAUGCACGCUCAGUCAAAGAAGAUGGCCUUCCCCGAAUAGAGACAGACAGGUCUUUGGUCUAGGGUAUAUGAGUAGCUGCGCUUCUCUGCUAGAACCUCCAAAGAAGCUCUCAAAGUCCAACUGCUGGACCUCACCUGCAGGAGCAAAGCUUUAGAUUUCUUUUUUCCUCUUUUGUAUCUAGCCCUGCUUCUCUAA